AUUGAACGCUGGCGGCAGGCCUAACACAUGCAAGUCGAACGAGUGGCGGACGGGUGAGUAAUGUCUGGGAAACUGGCUGAUGGAGGGGGCUAACUACGGGAAACGGUAGCUAAUACCGCGUACCAUAGGAUGAGCCCAGGUGGGAUUAGGUAGUGGGUGGGGUAAAGGCUCACCUAGGCGACGAUCCCUAGCUGGGCUGAGAGGAUGACCAGCCAAACUGGAACUGAGACACGGCCCAGACUCCUACGGGAGGCAGCAGUGGGGAAUAUUGCACAAUGGGGGCAAGCCUGAUACAGCCAGGCCGCGUGUAUGAAGAAGGCCUUCGGGUUGUAAAGUACUUUCGGCCGGGAGGCGUUACCUGCAGAAGAAGCACCGGCUAACUCCGUGCCAGCAGCCGCGGUAAUUC
rnacentral:rRNA from 1 species